CUUACCGGAAGUGACGUCAAAUCGCGCCGCACGCGCUCCGCGAAGCGCCGCCGGUGUCGCACUGAAACGGGUCCGGACGGAACCACGGGGAAGUUUUGGGGCUCUUUGACUGAAUUUUGGGGUCCCCGCGCGGAUUUUGGGGGUCCCUGAGGGGAUUUUGGGGUCCCUGAGGGGAUUUUGGGGUCCCUGAGGAAAUUUUGGGGUCCCUGAGGAAAUUUUGGGGCUCUUUGACUGAAUUUUGGGGUCCCUGAGGGGAUUUUGGGGUCCCUGAGGGAAUUUUGGGGUCCCUGAGGGAAUUUUGGGGUCUCUGAGGGGAUUUUGGGGUCCCUGAGGGAAUUUUGGGGUCUCUGAGGAAAUUUUGGGGUCCCUGAGGAAAUUUUGGGGAUCCUUGACUGAAUUUUGGGGCUCUUUGACUGAAUUUUGGGGUCCCUGAGGGAAUUUUGGGGUCCCUGAGGAAAUUUUGGGGUCCCUGAGGGAAUUUUGGGGUCUCUGAGGGAAUUUUGGGGUCCCGGGGAAAAUUUUGGGGUCCCUGAGGGGAAUUUUGGGGUCCCUGAGGAAAUUUUGGGGUCCCUGAGGGGAUUUUUGGGGUCCCGGAGGAAAUUUUGGGGUCCCUGAAGGAAAUUUUGGGGUCCCUGAGGAGAUUUUGGGGAUUUUUUGAAGCCCCGCCCCCAUUUUUAAGCCCCUCCCCCAUUUUUGAAGCCCCUCCCCAUUUCUUUAAGCCCCGCCCCCAUUUUUGAAGCCCCUCCCCCAUUUUUUAAAGCCCCCCCAUUUUCGAAGCCCCGCCCCCAUUUUUUGGAGCCCCUCCCCCAUUUUUUAAGCCCCUCCCCCAUUUUUUGAAGCCCCUCCCCCAUUUUUUGGCCCCUCCCCCAUUUUUUGGGACCCCCCAUGGACCCCCCGGAGCCCCAAAUUCCCCGGAAACGGCCCCAAAAAAACCCGCGGCACACCCAGGUCAGGAACCGGCGCUACAUGGCCAUGAGGGAGCUGAUCCGAGAGGGCGAUUACUUCAGCGAGGAGCGGAUGCGGCUCCGCGCCCCGGGGCUGUUCCAGCGCUACAUCGGCCGUUUCCGGGACGGAAUUCCCAAAAAUCCGCCGGGAAUUCCCAAAAUUUCCCCCGGAAUUCCCAAAAAUCCCCCCGGAAUUCCCAAAAAUCCCCCCGGAAUUCCCAAAUCCGGGCCGGAAAUGCCCCGAAAUGCCCCGAAAUUGCCCCAAAACGCGGGGCCCGCGCGGGAGCUGCGGGAGCUGCUGCUGAGCGCGCUGGAGGAGAGCGCGGGUCGGGUUUUGGGGCAGUUUGGGGAAUUUUGGGGAUUUUGGGGGGAGUUUGGGGUGGUUUGGGAUGAUUUUGUGGGGAUUUUGGGAGGUUUGGGGGGAUU
ensembl:lncRNA